AUGUCGAGCUCCGCUUCAGCCUCCCGCCGCUCAUGGCCGCGCUAUGGCGCAGUCCCCAUGACAAGGUGCCCUGCAUGCCCACGUAUCUCACCCCUGAAGCAGCUAGUCACAACGACCGACAAGAAUGGCAACCUUGGGCGGGAAUUCGUGAAAUGCGAGAGCAAACCAGAGCAGGGAAAGAAAUUGAAGCAAUGCACCCAUUUUGAGUGGCUAGAUGAGUACAUAGAGCGGAUUCAACUGGAGGGUGUAUCAAGGGAGCUCGAUUUACCGUUGGAGGCGGAGAAGUUGGGCGUUUGGAUCGGGCGCGUCUGGAUCUGCCCAUUUCAUUGGGGCUACUGUGGGGGAUGCAGGAGUGACGGCAGAGCUGAAGAAGCUGAACAAGCAGAUGAAGAAACUCAUCGAAUUGCAGAAGCAGGGCAAUUUGAUGGGGCUGAUGGCCGGACUUUUUUAUGUUUGUGUAAUUGCUCUCGCAUUUGUUUAUGUGAUGAUAAUUAG
rnacentral:rRNA from 1 species